UACGGGGGGGGGCAAGCGUUGUUCGGAAUUACUGGGCGUAAAGGGCUCGUAGGUGGCCAACUAAGUCAGACGUGAAAUCCCUCGGCUUAACCGGGGAACUGCGUCCGAUACUGGAAGGCUUGAAUCCGGGAGAGGGAUGCGGAAUUCCAGGUGUAGCGGUGAAAUUCGUAGAUAUUCGGAAGAACACCAGUGGCGAAGGCGACUUACUGGACACAUAUUGACGCUGAGGUGCGAAAGCGUGGGGAGCAAACAGG
rnacentral:rRNA from 1 species